rnacentral:lncRNA from 1 species
CCAUACACCUGACAUCUCUCUACAAGCCUCUAAGAGUACAUAAAAUCAUAAAGGUCGGGACCAGACCCCCCAUACCAAUCAAUACAUAUUCAAAGCAUUCUGACCAAAUAUGCAACUCAGGGGAAAGUGGAGUACACCAACACCUUCUCUGAGCUGAUAGCCUACUAUGAGGACUGUUUAUCUAUCAAUCGGGACCUGCGGGCAUGAAAUGCAG